GAGAAAACGGGUGAUUUUCGCUUAAAUGCGUGAUUUUUUAGCUAAAUGUUGGAUUUUCGAAGAGAAAAUGCGUGAUUUACCCUUAAAUGGGGGAUUUUCGAGGAGAAAAUGCGUGAUUUUGGGGUAAAAUGGGAAGUUUUCGACAAGAAAAGGGGUGAUUUUCACUUAAAUGGGGGAUUUUUGAAGAGAAAAGGGGUGAUUUUCACUUAAAGGUGGGAUUUUCGAAGAGAAAAUGGGUGAUUUUUGCUUAAAUGGGGCAUUUUCGUCGGGAAAAUGGGUGAUUUUUGAGUUAAAUCUGGGAUUUUUGAAGGGAAAAUGGGUGAUUUUCCCUUAAAUGGGGGGUUUUUGAGGAGAAAAUGCGUGAUUUUCCAAAAAUUGGGGAUUUUUGAAGGGAAAAUGGGUGAUUUUCGAGUUAAAUCUGGGAUUUUUGAAGGGAAAAUGGGUGAUUUUGGGGUUAAAUGGUGCAUUUUCGAAGAGAAAACGGGUGAUUUUCGCUUAAAUGCGUGAUUUUUUAGCUAAAUGUUGGAUUUUCGAAGAGAAAAAAUGCGUGAUUUACCCUUAAAUGGGGGAUUUUCGAGAGAAAAUGAGGUGAUUUGGGGUAAAAUGGGAAAGUUUUUCGAAGAGAAAAGGGGUGAUUUUCACUUCAAUGGGGAUUUUUGAAGAGAAAAGGGGUGAUUUUCACUUAAAGGGGGGAUUUUCGAAAAGAAAAUGGGUGAUUUUUGCUUAAAUGGGGCAUUUUUGUCGGGAAAAUGGGUGAUUUUUCGAGUUAAAUCUGGGAUUUUUGAAGGGAAAAUGGGUGAUUUUCCCUUAAAUGGGGGGUUUUUGAGGAGAAAAUGCGUGAUUUCCAAAUAAUUGGGGAUUUUUGAAGGGAAAUGGGUGAUUUUCGAGUUUAAAUGGCUAGGGGAUUUUUGAAGGGAAAAUGGGUGAUUUAUGGGUUAAAUGGGAGAUUUUUUGAAGAAGAAAAGGGUGAUUUCCUGCUUAAAAAUAGCGUUGAUUUUUUUUUA
rnacentral:lncRNA from 7 species